rnacentral:rRNA from 1 species
UACGAGGGGGGCGAGCGUUGUUCGGAAUUAUUGGGCGUAAAGGGUGCGUAGGCGGUUUGGUAAGUCUGAUGUGAAAUCUAUGGGCUCAACUCAUAGUCUGCAUCGGAAACUGCCGGGCUUGAGUGUGGGAGAGGUGAGUGGAAUUCCUGGUGUAGCGGUGAAAUGCGUAGAGAUCGGGAGGAAGGCCGGUGGCGAAGGCGGCGCUCUGGAACAUUUCUGACGCUGAGGCUCGAAA